rnacentral:rRNA from 1 species
CCUACGGGCGGCAGCAGUGGGGGAUAUUGCACAAUGGGGGGAACCCUGAUGCAGCGACGCCGCGUGAGCGAUGGAGUACUUCGGUAUGUAAAGCACUGUCAGCAGGGAAGAAAAUGACGGUACCUGACCAAGAAGCCCCGGCGAAAUACGUGCCAGCAGCCGCGGUAAUACGUAUGGGGCAAGGGUUAGCCGGAUUUACUGGGUGAAAAGGGAGCGUAGGCGGCAGGGCAAGCCUGAUGCGAAAGCCCGGGGUUCAACCCCGGGACUGCAGUGGGAACUGGCCUGCUGGAGUGCCGGAGGGGCGGGCAGAAUUCCUAGUGUAGCGGUGAAAUGCGUAGAGAUUAGGAGGAACACCAGUGGCGAAGGCGGCCUGCUGGACGGUGACUGACGCUGAGGGUCGAAAGCGUGGGGAGCAAACAGGAUUAGAUACCCCAGUAGUC